rnacentral:rRNA from 1 species
UUCCGUAGGUGAAAUUCUUGNAGGAUCNUUGUCGAGACCGAAUAUAUCGAGCGAUUCAGAGAACCUGUGAACGAGCGAUGACACCCGUCGUCGCGUAACAGCCGUCCCUGUUGUCGGCCUCAUGGGGGCCAUGAUGGGGGUCGGAUAAAACUCAAACCGGCGCAGCUACGCGCCAAGGCAAUACAAAUAGACACGAGCCCGCAUCGGGUUCGAUGGCGUGGAGUGCUUUUGCACACCACACGGAUCAAAAUGACUCUCGGCAAUGGAUAUCUCGGCUCUCGCAUCGAUGAAGAGCGCAGCGAAAUGCGAUACGUGGUGCGAAUUGCAGAAUCCCGCGAACCAUCGAGAAUUUGAACGCAAGUUGCGCCCGAGGCCAGCCGGCCAAGGGCACGUCCGCCUGGGCGUCAAGCGUUGCGUCGCUCCGUGCCAGCUCCAUCCCACCUGACGGGUGUGCAUGGGGACGGUCGGAUGUGCAGAGUGGCUCGUCGUGCCCACGGGUGCGACGGGUUGAAGAGCGGGUGAUCGUCUCGUUGGCCACGAACAACAAGGGGUGGAUGAAAAUUGUGCCUGUGUUGUAUCGAGCCGGCCUGAGAAGAGAUCAUUCCCUGCGGA